rnacentral:rRNA from 1 species
UACGGAGAGGGCUAGCGUUGUUCGGAAUUACUGGGCGUAAAGCGCACGUAGGCGGAUUGUUAAGUCGGGGGUGAAAUCCCGGGGCUCAACCCCGGAACUGCCUUCGAUACUGGCAAUCUUGAGGUCGGGAGAGGUGAGUGGAAUGGCGAGUGUAGAGGUGGAAUUCGUAGAUAUUCGCCGGAACACCAGUGGCGAAGGCGGCUCACUGGCCCGAUACUGACGCUGAGGUGAGAAAGCGUGGGGAGCAAACAGG